AUCGUUUUAAAUAAUACCAAAGUAUCUAAUGAAACCGAGAGACACCUGCUACAUUACAUAUCUUCUGUGUUUCUUGGGCAACCUUUUCUCACUCCAGAAAAGGAAGAGAUUAUUGGUAAGUAAGGAAAGACGGUAAAAAGGAGAGGAAUGCUUAUAUUAGGAUAUGUACACUGAGCGAAUAUUUCACGUCAAGGAAACAGCGUUUAGGGUGAACGAAAACAUAGUGUAAGGCAAAAUCAAGUAUCGAGGAGGACUCGGAGAAUCCCCUUUGUCGAUUUCCUUUUUUUUUCUUUUUUACGACACAGUACAAGGCGGCGUGACUACACAUACAUCCUUGGGUUACUUUUUAUAGGCCUAAUAUAUUAUGUAUAUACAUAGAUAUUAUGUUAUACACAUAGAUGACGACUAUACAAAUGUAUACUUUGGAUUCAUAUAACAUAUAACUACGUAACGGGGCGAGGAGAAGGUAUCUCGUGACUGAGAAGAGUAUUGGAUAUUAUAUUGGACGCAGGCAAUGUCCCCAUAAACGAGCCCAUGCGGAAAGGGAGUCCAAAUUUUUAUUUGAGCCCUCCUUGUACACCCUAACUGCUCAUCUUCAGGUCUAUACUGUACCGCAUAAAACUUAUAUUCCUCCUCAUCGUACGGAGAGGAAUUAAAAGGAGAAAAGCGGACAAGGGGAACAAAGAGAGCAGUGGAAGAGAUAAUACACUGGAACGACUUUGUCGCUACUAUAAAGU